rnacentral:rRNA from 1 species
UAGGGAAUCUUCCACAAUGGGCGCAAGCCUGAUGGAGCAACACCGCGUGAGUGAAGAAGGGUUUCGGCUCGUAAAGCUCUGUUGUUAAAGAAGAACACGUAUGAGAGUAACUGUUCAUACGCUGACGGUAUUUAACCAGAAAGUCACGGCUAACUACGUGCCAG